CGUCUAUAUACGUAUAGCAUAUCAAUAAGCGGAGGAAAAGAAACUAACAAGGAUUCCCUUAGUAACGGCGAGUGAAGCGGGAAGAGCUCAAAUUUGAAAUCUUCAAGGUUCUACCUUGACGAAUUGUAGUUUAAAGAAGUGUUUUCUGUUAGAGGAGUAGCAAAAGUUCCUUGGAAUGGGACAUCAUAGAGGGUGAGAAUCCCGUAUUUGGUUAUUCUUUCUAGCUUUGUGAUACACUUUCAAAGAGUCAGGAUUGUUUGGGAAUGCAGUCCAAAAUGGGUGGUAAAUUUCAUCUAAAGCUAAAUAUUGGCGAUGAGACCGAUAGCGAACAAGUACCGUGAGGGAAAGAUGAAAAGAACUUUGAAAAGAGAGUUAAACAGUACGUGAAAUUGUCAAAAGGGAAGCGUUUGACACCAGUGUUGUUUUUCCGAAAAUCAAUUAAGAACGGCUUGAUUUUGUGUUGUAUUGACCUUAUCAGCUUUCUUCACUCUUUUUCGAGUCUUUCUUAAUGCACUUUUCGGUUAACGAGUCAACAUCAAUUUCUUUUGUUGUAAAAGGGUAUUUGGAAGGUGGCUUUCUUUUCGGAGAAAGUGUUUAUAGCCUUAUACCUCUACAAUCGGAGAGAUUGAGGUCUGCAGCGUAGAUCCUUCGGGGCUAGAUACACUUGUGCUAAGUUAUAGCUUUUCAUAGACAACUUGUUGACUAUGUUUAGUCAUGUAGCUUACCCGCUUGCGCUAUUUUACCUACGCUUAGGAUGUUGAGUCAUCACACAUCUCU
rnacentral:rRNA from 1 species